CUGAAAAAAAUAGAACGCGCUCUCUCCCAUCAUAAACUUCUGGACAUGAGAGCUAUAGCUUAUAUGCUUUUCCUCAGCCUUAAAUAUAUUCAAGUAACUUGCAUUAAAAAUUGAUCGUUAAAAUCCGGUGAUUACCUCUAUCUGCAAGCAGGAUGGCCAUCGUUCAAGGAAUUUCAUUCCGAAGAAGGUAAUGAGUAUCUCAAGACUUCAUGUACAAUGACUCCAACGAACUAUUGCCCUCCAGAAUCAAUCGAAAUUCUUCAGGAAAUAACGGAGGACAGCGGAAUAACUCUAGAUUAUGCAAUCCGUGAAUAUUAUGGAUGGGAUUCUAUCGGAUCCGUCGAACGCCGUAAUGCUGAUGUUCCAUUUUGCGCAAGUGGCGACAAUUACGACGAGGGCACUAACAUACUCGGUAUCAUUCGACGAGGAAUGAAACUAGAGGUCUCGGGCUGUCCUGUACCCAGCCAAAAAAAUGAAGUUCGAAAGGGAAAAUUCUGGUCUGGACGAACAUAUGUUAGCAUGGGUCUUUACAAUUGUAAAGACUUCAUCGUUGAAUUUACUUUUAAACAGUCUGGCCAAAUCAUUGGCUCAGGUUGGAUAGUAAUGUACAAUGAAGGAACAUCUUGUCCCAACUAUAGGGACGUGAGCUGGUAACCCGAUUCUUCUCAGAUGUCUUCAGUCGAGAGGGAGUAAUCUAAAGGAUUGUUCUUGCCCUCAAUCCAUCAAUAGGUGUAUCCAUUACCAUAAAAAAUAUAACACAAUGUUUCUCAAGAGUUAGUAUCAUAAUAUAUUUUCAGUUAAUAGAUAUUCACGAAAACAAGUAUCACGUAGUCAAGUACAGACAUGGGAAAUGUAUUCUAGCUCUUUACGAUUGAGGCUGCCAAUUAUUCUCUUUCAAUCCUACAACAACAUCGAAGAAUUACCACUGGUUUACAGAUAACAUGAAUAGUUAUGUAAUUUUGACUGCUUAUUUCUUUCAAUUUAUCUUGAAAUGAAAAAAAAUAUAUCUGAAAGGGCUCUCAACUUCAAGGAAGGUGACUAGGAAGGUCACCAAAACCUUUUUAUCUAAUUCUCUGAGGAAAUUUUCAUCCAGUAAAAAUAUCUAAAUGGUAGCUUGCCCAGCCCUGGCUGUAAAUGCCAUACAAUCGUAAUGUACAAAAAGUCCUAAACAGAAUUGAGAGAAUUAUAAUUCAUUCAUUGAUUCAUUUCUGCCCGCCACAAACAAUACUGUUCGUUAUUCGGAAUGGAUUUUUAACGGAAAUUGUUUUGUAAUACAUGUAUUUUUCAUGAGGUUUGUAGACAUGAAAAUGUAAAAAAACAAAGGUUCCA